CAUUUGCCCUUUUUCUGAAAAGAUUAAAACAAAUCUCUAACCCCCAUGUCCUCUCAUUUAGGGAUUCAGCCGCACCUAUGCUAGAAGUUUAGAGGGAAUUUCUCCCUCCGAAGGCCAACUUCGACGACAAAAGGAGAGUUGCCGACAGUGGAGGAGCAAGUCAACUCAGGUUGUGAAGACAUGGGAGCAAAGCACACGAACGUGGGGUGUACAACGCGUAAACCAGGGUCGUGCGUGGAGCGUGAGUGGGGCUGCUGCGCAAAAGGGAAACUCAGGGUUUCUGAAACCCUAAAAAUUUAGGCUUAUCGGGCCGUUGUAAAAUUUUGGGCUUGUAAACCAAACUUAUCUGAUGGACUGUUUAAUUUUUGUA